rnacentral:rRNA from 1 species
CCUACGGGAGGCAGCAGUGGGGAAUCUUGCGCAAUGGCCGAGAGGCUGACGCAGCGACGCCGCGUGGGGGAUGAAGCAUUUCGGUGUGUAAACCCCUGUUGCUCGGGACGAACGAUCCUUUUCGAGGGAUGUGACGGUACCGAGUGAGGAAGCACCGGCUAACUCCGUGCCAGCAGCCGCGGUAAUACGGAGGGUGCGAGCGUUGUCCGGAAUCACUGGGCGUAAAGGGCGCGUAGGUGGUUGGAUGCGCCGGUGGUGAAAGCGCAGGGCUCAACCCUGCGUCGGCCAUCGGGACGGUCCGACUGGAGCACUGUAGAGGCAGGUGGAAUUCCGGGUGUAGCGGUGGAAUGCGUAGAGAUCCGGAAGAACACCGGUGGCGAAGGCGGCCUGCUGGGCAGUUGCUGACACUGAGGCGCGACAGCGUGGGGAGCAAACAGGAUUAGAUACCCUGGUAGUCCACGCCGUAAACGAUGGGCACUAGGUGCUUGGGGGAGGCGACCCGUCGAGUGCGCGCUACGCAUAGUGCCCGCCGCGGGAGGACGAACCGCGAGUUAGAACGUACGAAAGGAAGUUAGACGGCGNGAGACGNGCGACGGACGACGACGAGGGAGGAGG